UCCCUUUUAGUUUGAAUCCAUUUCCCCUUGUCCUAUUACAGGAGACCCUACUAAAGAGUCUGUCCCCUUUAUUACAGCCCCCCACAUUCCUCAGAUUAGUUAGCCCAUAUGCUCUAGCUUCAAGGCUGUUAAGAAAUGUGAGUGGACCCAACAACUUACAUCCCAUCGUGGCCUUAAUUUUCCAGUUCUGAAACACUGAUGCCACCAACUGUGGCACAAAGGAUUUGGGUUUCAAAGUCAUCCUGAUUUGGGUGCAGAGCAUACCCUCGUAUCAUCCGUGUCCAAGUAUGAUGCAUGUUUUUAGCAUGCCAUUUAGCAUGUUUUUGCAUGCAUCCACACAUUUAGGCUUCAAAAAUCACAGAGGUUUCUGUAUGAAAGCAUCUAGAGACAUGCAACAUUGUCUUUAUUCAGCUGAAGGCAGAGAAGUCUUGCUGUAAGACAAAUUGCUUUUGCUCUUAGACUGCGCAAACAGUUAGAGGCACGUAUACUUGGGAAGAGCCAUAGCAUACAGUUAUUAGCAAAUAUACAAAACAACAAGCUCAUCAAACGUGAGCUUACAACCUAUGGACAGAUAUAUGUUGUGGGUGGAGACAAAGGCAGCUAAUCAUUAGGAAUUAUUCCUGCUGCAACCAUGCCUACGAACAAGCCCUGAUCUUGUUUCAUGGCUAUGUUAUCCGGGCACCUGUAAACAGGAGAGAAACAAGUCAACGACUAAAUAUAACUGAGUGGUUAAAAGUAGAUGAGGAAAGCAGGGAAGCAAGUAGCAUUUAUUAUUCAGCUAUGACAGCACCUGCAGGCUUGUGUUUUAAAUGAGCAUGGAGAGCAUCUGCACCUCCAACAGCACCUGGAGUAACUGCAAGCAAGCAGACUCAGCUGUGAUGGGAGGGAGGAGGCACGACACAACAGUGACACUGCUUGGCGGCAAGGAACAGAGGAGCUGAACCAGGACCCUUUGAAUGACAGCUGUGCUGACAAGCAGUCCUUGGAAGGGUGAGAGGAAAUGAUAUGUGCCUGGCAGUCCUGCUGCUACUCCUCCACUUCCGUGCCCUCUGUGCUGAAGGUGACACACACAGACCUUUCUUCCCACUUAUUCUCAAUUUUUUCUCCUCUUUCUCUCUUUUUUUUCCUUUGUAAGGUGCUUUUAUUUCUGUCUUGGCUUGAAUACUCCAAUAGGUUGUAUGAGGUGGCUGUGAAUUUGAAAAACUUACUUACUGGAAACCAAUGAAAUUCCCUUUUAUUUUAUUUCCCUCAAGAAAUCCUUAGCUUAGUUUUCCCCCUUAACAAAGCCUCACUUUUCCAAAUCAGGUGGAGCAGGCUUAAUGCACCUGCUCCUGGGCAGAGUGGUGCAAUUAACCCCAGCUGCUUGCUUCCUAAGGAAAGGCUGUUGUGAGCAGUUAAAUGAGUCAUAAGACUUAAGGCAAGAGCUCUGCUCCCUUUGUUGAGGUACGGGUGCUCUCAGUCAGCGCAGUCUGUAGCUCAGCAGAGAGGGUAACUGCAGGAUGACAGUACUGAGCAGGUAGGAGAUCUCUGAGGAAUGGAGCACAGACUGAACUGCUGCAAAAUUAGGCUGCAGUUGUGUAAACAUGUGUCAGCAUACCCUACAAAUGCCUGGAACAUGCUUUUAUUUCAACCCAGAGAGACGUUGUGCCUCCAGCCAAGAAGAGGAUGGUGCAGACUGCUCACCUGAUACUCCCUGUUGUAAGCAACGGCUGCAAAGACGUUGGGGAAAGAGCCUGUCUGGUUCCAGCUGCCUUCCAGACCAGACUGCCUGGCUCGUUGCUGGCUACGAGGAGGGAAGCUAUAUUUCCCUCCCAAGAACAAGGGAGGAACAGCAGAUCAGUUGUUCCCCUUUUGUAGGUCUCCAGGGAGAGCACAGCUCCAGGUUUCCUCUACCUCCAAUUACAAGGUAGCCUCUGAUUCCUGAGAGCCAAGGAAUAGCUCAGGUUACGUGUGGUGAAGGAGAACUUGUAAAAGAAGUUAUUUUUGAAGGGGCAAUGAAAAAUCAGUAUUUUCAUUGGCUGCUCGUGGUAUUGCUACUGUGUUUGAAGCAGUUGGAACACACUGCAGGCUUCCUCAUCAGUCUUAGGGCAUCUCAUGCAGUUUUAAUAUGGAAGUGUCCAGGCAAUAUUAAUUUAACUUAAAAGUUGCCCAGCUCUCUGAAGCCAUUAAAAGGGCAAAAGAUUAUCAUAGAAUCAUAGGAACACAGAACAGCUUUGGUUGGAAGGGACCUUAAGGAUCAUCUAGUUCCAACCUCCAGAUUACUUGGGAAACAAGCUGAAUAUGCUCAGACUAAAAAGGAAAAAGGCAAAAAACUGUACAUGCAAUGACUGCGCAAAGAAGUUAUGGUUUCUGAUGCUCUGUUCUGAUAGUUGAGUGAAACUGUUCCUGCUUUGGACCCUGCUUGUGGCCUUUAACAGCAUCUACUGUCCCCGAGGCCCCGAGCUCUGACAGGCAAUGGACUGCCUUUCUGCUGGUGUUCAGAUGUCUGCAGUGCAGGAAACAGUAAAGAAGGCAUUCUCCUGCAGCCUGGAGCUACCAGAGACAGGGAGUACAGCCUGCUGAUCCCAGCCUGCAACUCUGGGUGUUACGUACUUCAGACUGAUUGUGGUUUCAGUAGAAACUCCACUUAUGAAACCACACAGAGCACAGUAGUCACAUGGCCAACUUCCCAGCUAGAGAAAGGAUUGUUCAACUCACCCUGCAAAGUAUGACUGCUCAAAAUAUCUGUGGCUGAACUCCUCCUCACUCAGCAUCUCCUAGGUGAUAGAUACUGUGUGUACUCCAACAUAUUUUAAAAUAAAAUAUCCCAUGGUUACAAUUACCAGUUGAAUUAUGAGGAUAAUAGCGGUGUUCGGUAUCUCACAUAAAGAACUCCAGGGGACCACUGGGACUGCAAAUACUGUGCUUGCCAAUCCAGAUCAAAAAGAUCCACAUGGGACAGAACUUAAAGUGCUGGUUGCAAUAUUUUCAUUUAGCUUGUCUGUCUGAACAUCGCAAGCAUUGAUGGAGCUGGUUUGGAGAUAAGGAAAAAAAAGGAAAAAAGCAUUUGAAAAUAUCCCAAGAUAAAAAAAAAAAACAUUUUGAGUCUUUUUAAUCUUCCCUGGACUGCUGAAAAAUCAGGAUCUUCUAGAGGUAAAUUAUUCAUUACAGGAAGAACAGAACUAUUGCCUUACUGCAAGUAGUUGGCAUAUAAAUCUAACUGAAGCAAGCACAAGUAAAGCAAAAGGCAGCUGAGAUGUGCAUAAAUGUGAGUCCAUGGUUUUGGUGACACAUAGCGAAGUGGUGCUGCCAGUACAGGAGUGCUGGGACAAGAAGGAGGAAUAAUGAUCUGCUGCUGCUGAGACAUAGCUGGAGCAUGAGCAUGGAAGAGGGAUAAGAGACGUGUCCAGACAGAAGGCCUGCUCCUACACCCAGGCCUCGGCUUCCUUUACCAGCACUACAAACUGGUACUCUGCUGACUAACUGCCAUGUAAACAAAGCAGGGGCUCAAGCCUGGCAGAUGAGAAGUUUGCAGUGCGCUUGGGAGCUGUGCUCAGCUCCUGCCCAGGCACCUCCUUUGGGUUAUGUAUCUGUGGUUGCUCGUUGCACUUCCCUAAAAUCAUGUUCUGUAUCACUAGAACACGCACCAUUUGUAUUUUGUGGUUUCUGAUCAGGAUAAGGAGGAACAACAAAAAUGGUUGCAAAAACAACUUGUUUAUUUUUUGAAAUUUUGAAGAUUUGAAAGAGUUGUUUUUGGCAAAGUAGGACUGAGUGUUACCUGUUGCAAGCUCAAUCUCAACUUGAAAGCACUAAUGGCAUAGAGUACUGACCCACGUUAAGAAAAUAUUAGAUGGUGGUGUCCAGCCUGGCAGAACUAUGAUACUACCUGUCCUAUGGAUGAGGCAUGCAGGCUGGGAGUAGCUCAGCUGAACACCAGAGGAGUAUAGUACUCAGCACUGGCAAGGCUGCAUCUCGAGUAU